AGGACGAACGCUGGCGGCGUGCUUAACACAUGCAAGUCGAACGGUGAACCCCUUCGGGGGGGAUCAGUGGCGAACGGGUGAGUAACACGUGAGCAACCUGCCCCUGACUCUGGGAUAACCCCGGGAAACCGGAGCUAAAUACCGGAUAUGACACCUUCGGGCAUCCGAUGGGUGUGGAAAGAUUUAUCGGUUGGGGAUGGGCUCGCGGCCUAUCAGCUUGUUGGUGGGGUAAUGGCCUACCAAGGCGACGACGGGUA
rnacentral:rRNA from 1 species